AGCUCCAGCUCCUUCAGCUCAUCAGAGGAUCCACGUCCGUCUCCUGCUUGAUCUGGCUGCUGGUCCAAAAUGAGUAGCGUUAAACGAGCUGCCUACUUGGAUUCCUUUGUUGAAUGUCAGCUGCCGAUUGGCUCCCCUGCAACUUCCGGCUGUAGUCGUAAAACAGAAGACUUUGCUAAACUGCAGAUGUGAAUGAGCUUCUUCUCCAGCUCGGAGACUUUCUGCAUCGCCCCCAGCUCGGUUUCCUGGAACUUGGAGCUCAGCUGAAAC